CCUACGUGUGGCAGCAGUGGGGAAUAUUGCACAAUGGGGGAAACCCUGAUGCAGCGACGCCGCGUGAGUGAAGCAGUAUUUCGGUAUGUAACGCUCUAUCAGCAGGGCAGAAAUAGCAACCUUUGGGUCGCCAGACGGUACCUGAUUAAGAAGCCCCGGCUAACUACGUGCCCGCAGCCGCGGUAAUACGUAGGGGGCAAGCGUUAUCCGGAUUUACUGGGUGUAAAGUGGGCGUAGACGGCAGCGCACGUCUGAAGUGAAAUGCCGGGGCUUAACCCCGGAACUGCUUUGGAAACUGUGCAGCUAGAGUGCAGGAGAGGUAAGUGGAAUUCCUAGUGUAGCGGUGAAAUGCGUAGAUAUUAGGAGGAACACCAGUGGCGAAGGCGGCUUACUGGACUGUAACUGACGUUGAGGCUCGAAAGCGUGGGGAGCAAACAGGAUUAGAUACCCUGGUAGUC
rnacentral:rRNA from 1 species